rnacentral:rRNA from 1 species
UUUUCGGACCUAGCGGCGGACGGGUGAGUAAUGCGUAGGAAGCUGCCCGAUAGAGGGGGAUACCAGUUGGAAACGACUGUUAAUACCGCAUAAUGUCUACGGACCAAAGUGUGGGACCUUCGGGCCACAUGCUAUCGGAUGCGCCUACGUGGGAUUAGCUAGUUGGUGAGGUAAUGGCUCACCAAGGCGACGAUCUCUAGCUGGUUUGAGAGGAUGAUCAGCCACACUGGAACUGAGACACGGUCCAGACUCCUACGGGAGGCAGCAGUGGGGAAUAUUGGACAAUGGGCGCAAGCCUGAUCCAGCCAUGCCGCGUGUGUGAAGAAGGCCUUCGGGUUGUAAAGCACUUUCAGCGAGGAGGAAGGGUGGUGUGUUAAUAGCACAUCAUUUUGACGUUACUCGCAGAAGAAGCACCGGCUAACUCUGUGCCAGCAGCCGCGGUAAUACAGAGGGUGCAAGCGUUAAUCGGAAUUACUGGGCGUAAAGCGCACGUAGGCGGUUGGUUAAGUUGGAUGUGAAAGCCCCGGGCUCAACCUGGGAAUUGCAUUCAAAACUGGCCAACUAGAAUACGGGAGAGGGGGGUAGAAUUCCAAGUGUAGCGGUGAAAUGCGUAGAGAUUUGGAGGAAUACCAGUGGCGAAGGCGGCCCCCUGGC